rnacentral:rRNA from 1 species
GACGAACGCUGGCGGCGUGCCUAAUACAUGCAAGUCGAGCGAACAGAAGCAGCAGAAUUACUUCGGUAAGGACGCUGUGGAAGUUAGCGGCGGAUGGGUGAGUAACACGUGGGUAACCUACCCUUAAGACUGGGAUACCACUUGGAAACAGGUGCUAAUACCGGAUAGGAGUAUGAGCUGCAUGGCUUAUACUUUAAAGGCGGCGAAAGCUGUCACUAAAGGAUGGACCCGCGGUGCAUUAGCUAGUUGGUAAGGUAACGGCUUACCAAGGCGACGAUGCAUAGCCGAGUUGAGAGACUGAUCGGCCACAUUGGGACUGAGACACGGCCCAAACUCCUACGGGAGGCAGCAGUAGGGAAUCUUCCACAAUGGACGCAAGUCUGAUGGAGCAACGCCGCGUGAGUGAAGAAGGUUUUCGGAUCGUAAAGCUCUGUUGUUGGUGAAGAAGGAUAUAGGUAGUAACUGGCCUAUAUUUGACGGUAAUCAACCAGAAAGUCACGGCUAACUACGUGCCAGCAGCCGCGGUAAUACGUAGGUGGCAAGCGUUGUCCGGAUUUAUUGGGCGUAAAGCGAGCGCAGGCGGAGAAAUAAGUCUGAUGUGAAAGCCCACGGCUCAACCGUGGAACUGCAUCGGAAACUGUUUUUCUUGAGUGCAGAAGAGGAGAGUGGAACUCCAUGUGUAGCGGUGGAAUGCAUAGAUAUAUGGAAGAACACCAGUGGCGAGGCGGCUCUCUGGUCUGCAACUGACGCUGAGGCUCGAAAGCAUGGGUAGCGAACAGG